AGCUAGUUGGCGGGGUAAGAGCCCACCAAGGCGACGAUCCGUAGCUGGUUUGAGAGAACGACCAGCCACACUGGGACUGAGACACGGCCCAGACUCCUACGGGAGGCAGCAGUGGGGAAUUUUGGACAAUGGGCGCAAGCCUGAUCCAGCCAUGCCGCGUGUGUGAAGAAGGCCUUCGGGUUGUAAAGCACUUUCGGCCGGAACGAAAUCGCCUUUGUUAAUAGCGAAGGUGGAUGACGGUACCGGAAGAAGAAGCACCGGCUAACUACGUGCCAGCAGCCGCGGUAAUACGUAGGGUGCGAGCGUUAAUCGGAAUUACUGGGCGUAAAGGGUGCGCAGGCGGCCCCGCAAGUCAGGCGUGAAAUCCCGGGCUUAACCUGGGAAUGGCGCUUGAAACUACGGGGCUGGAGUAUGGCAGAGGGAAGGUGGAAUUCCACGUGUAGCGGUGAAAUGCGUAGAGAUGUGGAGGA
rnacentral:rRNA from 1 species